GAAGGUCCAUGUAGACCCUCAAGAUUUGGGGGUUUGUUCCUUAGUCACCCAUUCAACAAAGAGUGGGUAAAGGAAUCCAAUUUUUUGCUUUUGUACUGGUUUCCUCCAUCCUGAAAAAUAUGUCUGAAAGCUCUCCUUCUAUUUUCAUCUUUACCAUGCCAUCUCUGCCUCCUGCCCUCUGGAAAAGCAGAUUUGAUUUCACAACCUGUUGGACCAGAAACACAGCAUGCUAAUCAUAACACCAUAUUCUGCGAGGGCAGAUUUAACUACCCAGUACAACAAAUUUCAAUACAAAAUAUUCUGUAUAACAAGUCCAUUGCCAUGCUUAGAGAAACAAGGGAAACAUGGGAACAGACCUACUUACAACAAAUUCUGUACCACACAUAUUCUCCUAUCAAAAAAAAAAAAAGAAAAUACUUUUGCUGUUCACCAUACACAUGAUGAUAAAAAAGGCACAGAACCAAGAAAAUUGGGGGGAUGUUCAGGGUAUGACAAGUAAUCCAACUGGGUUUAACUAGGGCCUAGGGUGUAUGCGGCGUAAGCUAAAUAUUUAUUCAUUUACAUCAGUUGCAUGGUUCUGGGGAGAGGAGCUGACUGAUGGCUGAGCUCUUUUACUUCUUAUUCCUGGUCCCAAACAACAAUUAGUGACAAUUACUUUCUAAUUCCCUUCACCCAUCUCUUUUCAAACACACAGUCCCAAACACACAAUCACACUCCUGUACUCCAGGAUCAUGCACUAAAUCAAAAAACAAAGGGAAUCUUAAGUUUCACUUGGGUAAAGAGUUGGAAUAGAGGAUCUCUGUGUGACACCUUCCUUCUUUACCUACUGGAGUCUAAGCUCUUCUUUUCACUUUUCAUUUACUGCUUUAACAAAUGCUUUCAUCACUACCCCUCUCAUCUGUACAACCUGCAAAUUUAGAUCGUGCUUUGAAAUUAUGUGUUGAUCUAAAAUAAAAUCUAAUAACAGCAAGAAAGUUGACUGUUACAUAAUGUGUUCCAUGAAUAGAAACUGAAAACCGGAAGGAACCUUUAAGGCCUUCUAAUCCAAGCCCUUUAUUUUACAGAUGAGGAAACUGAAGCCCAGAGAGGUGAAGUGAGGUGCCCAAGGCCACACAGCAAGUUAGAGGCACAGCUAGUACCAUAGCUCAAGUCUCCAGACUCCCAGUCCAGUGCUCCUCCCAUUACUCCACGGGUCCUGUCUCUAAGCUUCCUGACAAAUGCUAGAACGGAAGAAACCCAAGACAGCUGAAAACCAGAAGGCAUCUGAGGAGAAUGAGAUUACUCAGCCGGGUGGAUCCAGCGCCAAGCCGGGCCUUCCCUGCCUGAACUUUGAAGCUGUUUUGUCUCCAGGCCCAGCCCUCAUCCACUCAACACAUUCACUGACAAACUCUCACGCUCACACCGGGUCAUCUGAUUGUGACAUCAGUUGCAAGGGGAUGACCGAGCGCAUUCACAGCAUCAACCUUCACAACUUCAGCAAUUCCGUGCUCGAGACCCUCAACGAGCAGCGCAACCGUGGCCACUUCUGUGACGUGACGGUGCGCAUCCACGGGAGCAUGCUGCGCGCACACCGCUGCGUGCUGGCAGCCGGCAGCCCCUUCUUCCAGGACAAGCUGCUGCUGGGCUACAGCGACAUUGAGAUCCCGUCCGUGGUGUCGGUGCAGUCGGUGCAAAAGCUCAUUGACUUCAUGUACAGUGGCGUGCUGCGCGUCUCGCAGUCGGAAGCCCUGCAGAUCCUGACGGCCGCCAGCAUCCUGCAGAUCAAAACGGUCAUCGAUGAGUGCACGCGCAUCGUGUCGCAGAACGUGGGCGAUGUGUUCCCGGGGAUCCAGGACUCGGGCCAGGACACGCCACGGGGCACUCCCGAGUCGGGCACCUCGGGCCAGAGCAGCGACACCGAGUCGGGCUACCUGCAGAGCCACCCGCAGCACAGCGUGGACAGGAUCUACUCGGCGCUCUAUGCCUGCUCCAUGCAGAAUGGCAGCGGCGAGCGCUCCUUCUACAGCGGUGCGGUGGUCAGCCACCACGAGACGGCGCUCGGCCUGCCCCGCGACCACCAUAUGGAAGACCCCAGCUGGAUCACGCGCAUCCACGAGCGCUCACAGCAGAUGGAGCGCUACCUGUCCACCACCCCCGAGACCACGCACUGCCGCAAACAGCCCCGGCCGGUGCGCAUCCAGACCCUGGUGGGCAACAUCCACAUCAAGCAGGAGAUGGAGGACGACUACGACUACUACGGGCAGCAAAGGGUGCAGAUCCUGGAGCGCAACGAGUCCGAGGAGUGUACGGAAGACACCGACCAGGCCGAGGGCACCGAGAGUGAACCCAAGGGCGAAAGCUUCGACUCGGGCGUCAGCUCCUCCAUAGGCACCGAACCCGACUCCGUGGAGCAGCAGUUCGGGCCUGGGGCGGCGCGGGACGGCCAGGCCGAAUCCGCCCAACCUGAGCAGGCUGCGGAAGCCCCGGCUGAGGGCGCCCCGCAGCCGCACCAGCUAGAGACCGGUGCCUCCUCCCCGGAAAGGAGCAACGAGGUGGAGCUGGACAGCACGGUGAUCACCGUAAGCAACAGCUCCGACAAGAGCGCCCUGCAGCAGCCUGCGGUCAACACGUCCAUCGGGCAGCCACUGCCAAGUACCCAGCUCUACUUACGCCAGACGGAAACCCUCACCAGCAACUUGAGGAUGCCUCUGACCUUAACCAGCAACACACAGGUCAUUGGCACAGCCGGCAACACCUACCUGCCGGCCCUCUUCACCACCCAGCCCGCGGGCAGCGGCCCCAAGCCUUUCCUCUUCAGCCUGCCACAGCCCUUGGCAGGCCAGCAGACCCAGUUUGUGACAGUGUCCCAGCCCGGCCUGUCAACCUUUACUGCACAGCUGCCAGCGCCACAGCCCCUGGCCCCAUCCGCCGGCCACAGCACAGCCAGUGGGCAGGGCGAAAAAAAGCCUUAUGAGUGCACUCUCUGCAACAAGACUUUCACCGCCAAACAGAACUACGUCAAGCACAUGUUCGUACACACAGGUGAGAAGCCCCACCAAUGCAGCAUCUGUUGGCGCUCCUUCUCCUUAAAGGAUUACCUUAUCAAGCACAUGGUGACACACACGGGAGUGAGGGCGUACCAGUGUAGUAUCUGCAACAAGCGCUUCACCCAGAAGAGUUCCCUCAACGUGCACAUGCGCCUCCACCGGGGCGAGAAGUCCUAUGAGUGCUACAUCUGCAAAAAGAAGUUCUCCCACAAGACCCUCCUGGAGCGACACGUGGCCCUGCACAGUGCCAGCAAUGGGACCCCUCCCGCAGGCACACCCCCGGGGGCCCGAGCUGGCCCCCCAGGGGUGGUGGCCUGCACGGAGGGGACCACCUACGUCUGCUCCGUCUGUCCAGCAAAGUUUGACCAAAUCGAGCAGUUCAACGACCACAUGAGGAUGCAUGUGUCUGACGGAUAAGUAGUAUCUUUCUCUCUUUCUUAUGAACAAAACAAAACAACAAAAAAGAAACAAACGAAAAAAAGCUAUGGCACUAGAAUUUAAGAAAUGUUUUGGUUUCGUUUUUACUUUCUGUUUUUGUUUUUGUUUCGUUUCAUUUUGUACUACAUGAAGAACUGUUUUUGCCUGCUGGUACAUUACAUUUCGGAGGCUCAGGGGAAUAAUAGUUCUCCCAGUCUCCCUCGGAUGGUGGCCUUAAGGCCUGGUAGUGCUUCAGGAGGUCCACUGGUUGGAUCUCUAGCUACUGGCCUCUAAAUACAACCCUUCUUUACAAAAAAAUCUUUAAAAAAAAAAAGUAAAAAAAAAAAAUUUUCUUUUUUCACUUGUGAAGAGCACUACAAAAAUAUAUAACAAAAUCUAAAAGGCCUACUGUCUUUAAGUACACCGCUUGCAGUGUUUCAGUGGACAUUUUCACAAUUCUGGCCGCUUGGACUUCACAGUAACCAGUUAAAACUGUGGAAUAUCACUUUCUGGUUGAAAACCCAGAGGAAAGGCCCUGCUGUUUUCCACCCCCAACAUUGUCUGAUUUCAUGCAAGGGCUGCGGGUGUGGGAAGGGGCAUGGGUUUGGUGGUGUGGGAAAGGCAGACGGCAGGCUUCUCCCCCAGAUUCUGCUCGGUCCAUGCACCCUGGCCCACCUCCUCCAUGGCCCCCCCCCCCCUUUCAGCAGAAGCCAGGAAGACUUGGACAAGCAUCAAGCAACAGUGGCUAUCGUAUUUAUUCAGUGUCUUCGCUGAGCCCCAGACUCAGCACAAUCAAGAGGGACUUUCAUGAAAGGCAGGAAUGCAGAUAAAACAAAGAUAUCAGAGGUUUGCACCUACGUUUCUAGCGUUUCAGAGUUGGGAGACACAAAGGCAGCUUGUUGGAUCCACAGCAAACCCACAGUGACAGGCUGCUUUCCUCCAGAAGAAGGCAGAACAGAUGUACUCAACUGGCAAGUAGGUAAGAGGGAGCAGCAAUGUGGGGCACCCCCUCUACCCAGGUUUCCUGUGCAGGAGCGGGCACCAAGGCCAGGCAGGCAAGGCCCAUGCAAACUUUUGCCUGAGCCCUUCCAUGGCUUAAAAGCCUCCAUUCCUUUCCUCUAUGCAACCCAGUGUGUGCACACAAACACCCACCCACUUGUAAGUUUGACUCCCAAACUAAAGCUUCCUAAUCCUGCCUGCAUCUGCAGGGAACCAUCAUCAGUCACAAACUGUGUCUCGUGAAACCAAUGUGGCCUUUGCUGAAGUCUUUCCAGGAGUGGGUUGUUUACCAUGUCUAGCAAACCAAUAGACUCUCAGAAGAAUCGUUUUCGGUAAUCUCUAAGAAUUGAUGGCUCUUGCCCAUCUCGAACAUUAAAGUAGAAUGCGCUCUAGUGGACUAUUCUGAACAAACGGACCUGGCUCUCAUAGCUGACUUUGAAGGGUGGCCUGGAAACAGUCGGAUUCAGUUUUCUCACUCCCACGCCCUUCUUUUCCUAGAUGGUUUCUUAUUUUUUAUGACAUGUGGAUUAUUUCUGCUCACUUACAGAAUUCAGAGGACGUUUUCUUUCCUCUUCUAUUUUGGUGACUUUUCCCCUCCCCAAUUAAGUAAGGCUACUUACAGUUGCAAUCUUUUUGUUGUUACUAUUGUUUUAAAUGUAUAUUGUCUUUCUAUAUGCAAAAGAAGUCUGUGACUGUAACCAUAGGUAUUUCUUUUUACUGGAAAAAAAUGAGUUGUGUUUUUUUUUUAGUUAACAGUACUAGUGACUUUGUGGAAGAAUUUGAGUUACUAUUUAGGUAUGCUUACUUAAGUACAGUACACUACAUUGCAGUAUUUCUGAAAGCUAGAACAUACACAUUAUAUAUAACAACUCUAUAUUGAAAUAUAUAUUACAUUAUAUUCAUUUUAACUUUUGAAUCUGCCUAUGAUCAUGAGUUGAUUGAAAUGCUAUUUCGUUGCAUUUAUCACCCAUCACCAACCUGCUGCAGUUAAUCUGGUGCAUUUAAUAAUAAUCAUUACUGCUCUAGUUUGCUUUUUAUAUUAUCAGCUUCAGUAUUGUCUUUACAGGAUUUUAGAAUUUUUUUUUAAGCUCAGACUUAGCAAAUGUAGGAAAGUGAAAACUCUUUUAAGAAAACAUUUUUUUUGGUGUGGCCAACACGAAGAGGUUCAUAGUCAAAGUGAUCUUGUAGCUGACCCUCUCAAUAUCUGAAGAACAAAAGAAGUGCAUAUGAAUGUAUCUGUGAUUUUCCCCUCUAGGACUGUCACUGUCUAUAUUUGCUUUUAAACACAUGACCAAGGGGCCUCUUAACCUCCAUAUGAUCUGACCAACAAUUACAGGCUGCAUUUCAAAGGGCUGCUCAUCUGAGAAGCAGGAGGCAGUUAAAGGCCUAGUUGUCCCACUUGUAUUUUCAAAUAUUGAUUUUUAAUACUAGUUCUUUACUGAUUACUUUCUGUUUUCAGUAUGCUUACAGUUAUUUUAACUAGUCUUCAGUGCUUCCCUGGAGGCAGCUUAGCAAUAUAAUGUUCAUUUUCCUAGGAGAUUCUUUUUAAUAAAAUCAGAAUUUAGGAACUUUUUCAUGACAGAGGCUGAUAGAACUAGAACUCAGAAAAUUAUAGUUCAUUUUUUUAGUCUGCAGAAUCCAUAAAAUAGUGGUUCUUGGGUAUCUAGCCCUCAAUACCUACAUUUGUCCAUUAAGGUGGGAACUUGGUGCCUUUCUUCUUUAACCAGGCCAUCACGGAAACGUCAGAAAUCAGGCAUCCUGUCUUCCUCACAAGAAAUAUUUUCAAAUAGUAUUUUUAGAUAAAGAGCUCCUUCAGCUUCCCUCCGCUACUCAACCCAAUGCCUGGAAAACCCCACUGAUGGAUAAACUUUACAUUCGGUCCUGGGUGCCUGAGACCAGUUCUACAUUCAGGACAGGAUGAAAACAGCUGUUCGUCAUACUCAGCGUGAGAACCCUUCCCACACUGAACCACCGUUAAGGCUUCUCAGUGUGAAUAACACCAAUUCCUUCCUUUCGUCUUUUCCAGUCGAUUUUUGUUUUCAAAUCCCACCCCAUUCUGCUGUGCCCCUCCAACAAGCCCUCCCCCCUUCCCUUAUCCAACUCCCCUCCUUGCCCUCUACUUGCGGUACUCAUUAAGGAACUACCUGCUCUAAUCUGCUUGGAAGGGGCUAGUAUUGAGUCCCAAAGCAAAAAUAUCCAUCUGUUUCUCCAAAGUUUUCAACUAAAUAUAUUUCUACUAGACCAACGUCAUAGUGAAUUGAGGGUGAAGUGAGCUGUUCCUUUUCCAGUGAUUACUUAAUACCCAAAUUGUAUCAACUUCACUAUUUUCCUCUUUCCUCUUCCUCACCCGUUCUCUUUAUUUCUUGUUUCUCUCUAAGACUUUAAAUGACCUCUUCCUCUCUUCACUGCCUUAAGAACUCUAAUCAUCAUGACACCUGAGGACUCAUUUCCUUCCCUUCCCCCUACCCCGUUGUGAAUGUCCUUCUUUGAGCUCUAUGUGGUGAAGGAGCACUGACAUGAGUGAGUUCAUCAGCAUGAGACUCGUAGGCAGAGUGAAGUAUGUCUUCACUGUACCUUCAGGUUUUAAAAGUUAUCUGUAUUCUUUUGAGAGUGGGAGGACCUGAGUCACAGUUUUAAAUGUCAGCCGUACUAGCUGAGGUCACAAAUUCUUUUCACCUUCACAUUUGGCCAAAGACAAAGGGAAAAAUAUUUUCUGGUUGGUUUUUUUUUUUUUUUUCUCUUUUUUAAAUACCACAGUGUUCAAAUUCCUGAUAUGAGUAGACCAUUUCUGAGGGAGAAAAAAAAUCAUCGGUGAUGACUCUUUCAACUCCUACUAAUAUUUAGCCAAAUGACAUACAGGUACUAGACUUAGAGAAAUGUAAUGAAAGGAGUAACAUUUCAGAAUAAUUCUGAUACCUGCUCAAGCCCUAGUGAGCUCUUCUAAAACAGGUAAAUCCACUUCUACUCAAAGGCAUCACAGGAGAUAAUUAGGAAGCAUUUUUUUCACGUCAUGUUUUUGAAAAACAAUUGUUGAUUGGUUUAGAACUUUAAGCAGUAAUUUACUAAGGGAUGAAAAGAUCCAUAAAGUUCCUAAAGUGUCUAUUUUGCAACCACAUAUUUUUAAACAUAAACUUAAUAUGUGCUUAAAUAAAAUAAUAAUAGGGCAGAACAGAUACUUGAAGAGCCAUUUAAUGCACUCCCCAGUAACUAAGCAUUCACCAUGUAAUUUGGUCAUCAUGCUAGAUCUCAUUUCAGUGAGUUACAACUGUCUGGUUGCCAGAGCAUUGUCCAAAAGACUCAUACAUUUCUGGGUCUCCCCCUUUACAGGAUGCUUAUGACGCAAUCUGAACAACUCUGUAACACAGUCUUUCCUGACUCCCAGUCCAGCACUCUUUCUGUGAUACUGCUUUGGCUCUCGGCUCUUGGGUGGACCAUUCUGUGGCAUCUAGAGCACUACCUGAUUUUGAGCACACAGGGGUAUGCUUUCAUUUCUUGCUUUACCCAUUGACAAACAGAAAGAACAUUAAUGUCAGAAAUGUAGUCUUAAUUUGAUUUGACGCUUGAUGCAGGUUUUACCUUAAUCAAACCAAUUUUUAACAUCUCACACCAUAGAGAGCAAUGCAAUAAAGAAGAGGUUCAAAAACCUCCCUGAGUCCCACAUCUAGUAGGAAACCAACACUUCUUAAAGUCAGCGUGUAUGUUGCUUAGGACUGUCAUCUUCACUUAGCAUGUUCUCCCCAUCAUUCUUAUCUCCUUCUCUUUCUUUGUCCAUUCUGACUCCCUCUAUCUUUUUUUUUUUUUUUUAAGUACUCUUCAUCUAAAAUAUUCCUCUCCUCAGGCAUUGACUUCUGAAAGAACAAAAGACUUUCUUUUAAAUCCUAAAUGCCAUCAUUUAAAGUAUAAUGUGGAGGAGGAGCGGAUCUGGUCCUGGUGGGUCCCCUUUGGUCCAGUUUAUCACAAAGAUUCCUCCAGGAUGCCUUCUUUUUAUUUAUUUUAUUUUUUUCCGGUACGCGGGCCUCUCAGUGUUGUGGCCUCUCCCGUUGCGGAGCACAGGCUCCGGACGCGCAGGCUCAGCGGCCAUGGCUCACGGGCCCAGCCGCUCCGCGGCAUAGUGGGAUCCUCCCGGACCGGGCCACGAACCCGUGUCCCCUGCAUCGGCAGGCGAACUCUCAACCACUGCGCCACCAGGGAAACCCCCAGGGAAGCCCCCAGGGAAGCCCCCAGGAUGCCUUCCUGACCUUGUUCCUUCUAGUGCUCCAAGAAGAGCUCUAACCCUGAGACCCCAGAUUUCUCACCACAGCCUCUGCAUUAGUCUAGAUUAAUGUUGAAAUCCUGUUUAAUAUUCUGGAGAGUCCAGGAUGUGAAUUUCUUGUUACUUUCGAGCCUCCUGCUUUUCUAAGCUAACACCGGUAGCCCUAACGGUAAGUAAUGCGGCAAAAUAACGGUCAGAAACAUUACAGUAUACAUUUGGGAGGACAGGAAGGGAUUUCUUUCUUUGCCUCCAUAAAAAGCUUGCUUCCUCCCCCCGGCCCCACCCCCACAAUGCAUUUCAGAAGCUCUGCAUCUCAUUUUACAGAUAUACAGUUUUAGGAUUUGCAGAUAGAGCUUAGGAAAUAUUCUGAGAUUGAGGCUGGUAGCAAACCAGUUUAUUUUCUGCACUGGACUUUAGGACAAGUGUGCAUGGAUACAAUUCCUUCAAAGAAAGUGAAACUAACAUAGUAAAGCAAAGGGAUAAUACUUUUACACAUUAAAACAGUUGUUUGCUAUCUGUAAACCUUGAUUUAAGCAUAAUUAUUACUUUUUAGAAACCUGAAGCGGGAGGAAUGUGUAUUUUAGUGAAGUUUGUUUGUUGAUUUGUUUGUUUCCCUUUAUCUCUUUCUUCUCAAGGCAGUAAAAAAUUUUGAUUCUUUAAUUUGAUACUGUCCAUGGCCAUAGGCAUCAGUCAAAUCACUGCCCACCCUUACCUUACUCCUUUCCCUCUUAGAAUGAAAAGCCUUCCAUUCUAUCAUUAAGGAGUCUAUUCUCCAUGAAAAUCUUAUCUUCCUUUUCGAAUAGAAUGUGAGAGCUUUGAGGAGAAAGAGUCUCUCUGCACUUUGAGGGUAGAAUAGUUAAAAUAAAAAAGAAACCCCAUUCUUGAAAAAGAAACCCCAUUUACCUAAACUUUACAGGUAUGAGGCCUAAGGAUGGGAAUUGACUGCAGAUGAAGUUCAUGCAAUUUCACACUACAAAUCUUUAUUGUCUCCUCAAAUUUUUGAAGUAAGGCCGAGGAUAGACUAAUGUAAUGAAAAUCCUCUUUGGAUGUUUCUUAUUAAUAUAGGACAGAAGCACCAGAAAAGAAAAAGAAAGGAUACUACUAAAAUGCCAAAAUCAGUUGAUCUGUGGAUUGCUAUAAUUGUUCAGAUUUCUGUUCUCUUCAUUUCAAAACUGCAUGUGUUCAUGAGGUCUUAAAUGGUGAAACACCACUCCUCCAUGGCCUGUCAUCUCCCCAACCUGGCACUGGAGGUGACAGUCACAGAGGGAGAUUGGCAUUGCCAGUACUUCACCCGUCCGUACUCUCACCACCACAAAAGAAAGAAAAACCGAAUUAGAAGCUUUAAAAAAAGAGGAAAUUGUAGUGCUUCAUUUGAAAGCAUACUGUUUUCAACUCAAUUCAAUUUACAGAUAGCCUGACAACCUUUUUAUAACCUGUCUUUUAUGCUAUAAUUUGCAUUCUUAGCUGAAUCUUUAAAAUAAUUGCAAUUUCAAUUAAGUGAACAGAGGAAAAGCAAAGAGGGGAAACCGGACAAUGUGAUGGGACUAAAUUGGAUACAGUUCUGGAUUCCUAAAGCCAGUUCUCAGGGUUAGCAGGGAAAGUCAGCACCACUCGCCCUUUGACAUUUUUGCCCAUUCUCACUAUUAUAGGCCUCAGAAUUAGUAAAAUAACCUCACUUCUUUGUGAUUUAAGACUUCUCUUAAUGCUAUCAAAACCAUAUAGAGAAAUUAUAGAAACCCUUGACUGCUCCCAUUACUAAUGUGCUCUCCGGGGCUUAUGCAGAGAGAUAACGGACAAUAAAAUAAUGGUUCAAGUUUAAUACAAGCUUUAGACAUAGACUAAAGUGCUUAGUGUACGUCCACUGCCAGAGGGUUCUUUGAAAAAUAAGGUGACUUACUCCUCUCCUGCUCUCCUUGGCACAAACUUUGAUUUGGAACCACCUAUAUGUAGAUUUGUAAGAGAGGGUUAUCAAAAGCAUUGUCAGCAAUUAAACUCCUUCUUUAGUCCCAGUGAUUACGUUUUCCCGAGGGGCCUACUGAGAUAUAAAUUAAGGGUAACUUUCAUGUAUGUAAUUAAAUUUUGUUUUUUUGCACUAUCGUUAAAAGAACUGUGGUUUUCAGAGUAAAUCUUGGUACUCCUCAUCGUGGCAAACAAAGGCAAGAAGUUGAUAGAAUCAAGCAACUCUAUGAUAACGUAGUGUUCCAAAGGAAUUUGAGUGUGCUGACCCCACUAAUGUUUCUAUAAUCUAUUCUCAACUACAUAUUGAUCCUCCUGAGACUUCCAGCAUGCAUGUGGUGUGUGCAAACAAGCAGAUUUACACCUGGAGGGUGGGGACCCAGGCAAACUGGAGAGAAUGAUUCUGGAGGAUGAUCAAAUGCAAGGCAUCUCUCCAAAAUCACUCAGUACUGCCAUAUCCCAAACUAAGUCCAGAUUAAUCUUAAGCAAAAAGUAAGCUCCAUAAGACAUCCUGCUAUGAAUGUUUUUUCUUACAGAAUAAUACAAGAAGAGGUACAAUGCAGACCCUUAAUUUUGGUGUAAUAAUUCACUUUUAUAUUUAAUAAUUGUACUUUUGGUGUGAGUGUGUCAUUGAGCUAUUUGUACCAAUUUUCAAUCUAUCAUCCUGAGAGGGGCCUUGAGAAUUUCUGUGUAUGUGUAUGUAGAUCUGUAUUUAUGUGUAGUCAGAAAAAAUGGAUAGCAGAGGAAAGAGGCAAGAGAGAAGGUCAAUGUGAAAAAGUGAGUGCUCUUAGUGUCCCUAUUUAUGUUAGGUAAGGUGGCUGCUGCCCAAAGCCCUCGAGGAAUAGCUGAUUGCACUAUUCAGAAAUAAGAACCCAGCACUGUUAAAUUUAGGACCGUGUUUUGGGAAACAGGAAAGCUUUAUCUUUUUCUGUACCCAUUCCCUUUAGCAUCGGAGCCAUUUGACAUGAUGAAAAGCAUUCAGUAAAAACCACUACUGAUCUUUGCAUUAAAUAGCUAUUCUCCUCUUCUAAAUACUACCCUUGGUUUCAACUCAACUCCUUCCCUUUAUUUUCUGCCUAUUGGCUUAACAUUUUACAGAAUAAUGCCUAGGCGUAUGCUAGUUGUUUCCUUCCUUUGAGCUGAACCAAACAGGGACAAUGAAAGAGAUGACUCACAGAAGUGUGAGGUAAGGACUGAAUUUCCCACUUUUGUGGCACUGGUAACUUUUAGUAAGAGCUGUUUAGGGUUGAGCUUGGGGCUGUA